UUAUCUAAAUAUAUUUUGAUAUGUAUUUAAAAAUAAUCUAAUAAUAUAGUUUUGCUUUUUUUAAAACCAAUACUCUCCCAUAGUACAGUACUAGACUUUUUCAGACAAUCCAGCAAUCUACUUGGGACAUGCACACUCUGAAACCCACACAACUAAGUUGGUCGGACAGUAGUUUGUAUCAAGUAUUGGCAGAGACCUGUUGUUUAGUUUAUGUACAUUGCAUAGUUUCCUUGCAACUAAUAAAUAUGUUCACUAAAGGAAAAAGGAAUCAAAAUGUUUUAUCUAUUGAAACCAAAGUUAACAUAAUAAAUCGAUUAGAAAAAGGUGAAACCAUA
rnacentral:lncRNA from 1 species